CUGUGACUAGCAUGCUGACUUCUUCUGCUUGCUUCUGUUGCUUCUCUUGGUUCUCACACUCAUCUACAUCGAUGAAUAUUAGAUGACACAAAUCUUCCUUAGCAUGUACAUUCUUCUUCCUUUCUGGUGAGGGAAUGAGUGAGUGAAUAGUACCAGAGUUCCUUGUGAGCUUGGAAAAAUCCGUUUUGUAGACAGAUCACAAAGUCACAUACUCUUAAUUUGUCUCUGAGUCGGUUUUGGAUUGCCUCGUCUUUUUGGGUGCUUGAGAAACUUUCUCAUCACCUUUCCUCUUAACCUCGACUUUCUUUAACUUCUUUGUUGGAGGAGAUGUUGUGACUUUGGAUGAUUUCCUCUUAUUCUUCUUGUUGUCUGCAGUUUCUGAGUCACCAGGAGUUUAAUCCGGAAAGAACUAAUCCGCAACUAAUUACUAAUAUUUUUCAUUGAAAAAAAAUAAUUUUAAAUAAGACUGGUACCUUGGUCUGUUGUAAAUUUGUAAGAACUAAUUUGACAGACAAUGAUAUAACUCAAAGACUAAUUUAUUUGUAAGUGCAAUAAUUUUGUUACUAAUUUUUGACCGUAAAUAACACACAAGUUAGCAGAAGGACCAAGUUGUUCAAUAUAAUUCAAAAUGUGAUUGUUUUUGCCAUGGCAUCCCCCAGUUUUUCUAUAAUUACACAAGAUUCCCUUUGUCUCGAUGGUUAGGAAGUACAAUUUUCUUUUGGAUGUCUCGUGUCUGAGUCCUAAUUCCCCUCAUUUUUAUAUUUCUAUUAUAUUAUAUUUUAAAUUUUAUUAAAAAAAUGUUCUUGAGGGGGAAUCGAACACGCACCACUACACUGAAUUCUAGCAAAAAACUGACCCCUAGACCGGUUACUGAUCUGAAGAAUAUUAUGAAACAACUAAACAUAUAUUCCAUAAAUUUUGGCACCCCCAAGAUAAAAACUCAAGAUCCGCCAUUGCCUAACUCAAGGUCCUAAAUACGCCACUACCAUUAACUAUAAUUAAUAAGAGUGUUUUAGAAAAUGAAACAUAUUUUGAACAUAUUUCUUAUCAUUUCUUUAACAAUUAUGUAAAACUCAAAAGGAACCCUUAAUUUGAGACAGAGGAUAUAUAAUAAUCGAUGAAGUUUAAUAUCUGCAAAAAAGUGUUAUUAAGUGAAGUAAACUUAACAAGGGUGACACUUGUUUUCUUUUGGUAAGGUGUGGGAGCACUCUUGACUGAGUUUCUAUUUUUUUUUUUUAUAUUCUUUUGAAAGUUGUAGUGGUGUAAUUGGGUGGUUAGUUGAAGUAAUUUUCGUUUUGGUUCUUGCUUGAUCUAUUUUGCAUUGUGAAAUUUCAAUUCUUAGUUUGCUUUCUACAUUGACGGAGUUGCUAAGUUGCAAUCAAACUUUUGAGUGUGUAUUAAUUAUAACAGUAAGAGUGUUGCUAGCACUACUCUUAUAUAAAAUCAGAUGUAUUUUUAAAUUUAUUUAUUUAUUUUUUUUUUUUUAAUUUCUACGAAAGUGGUGCACUUUUCCAUGAAUAUGCUUUUAGUGCAACUCCUUACCAAUGUAGUCAAACAAUUUCUUAAAACUCAUUGUUAUUAGUCAUUUCGAAACAAUGUAUUCACCAAGACAAAGGAGUGGGUGGAAGGAUAAUGGGUGCAUGCACAAUCAAGAAAAAGUUAGGUGAACAUUACAAUCAAAAUAUAUAGCAUAGAGCAUCAAAAUUUAUCGUAUGAAACAAUGUUUUUCUAAAAUAUGAAUGUGAACAAAUAACCCUUCAACUCAUAAGAUGAUCUUUAAUAUAUAGAAUUAGAAAGUUAGAGUAUCAGUACACCGAAAUUUAUAUAUUCAAAAGUGAGGCGUAGUUGGUUUUCCUCUUUAUGUAGUAUAGUUCGGUUUUUCCAUUUUAUUAUGGUACUUAUUCCUAUCAAAUUGAUAAAUCAGCUUUAUCUUAUAAUUGAUUUAACUAAUGAUGACUUGAACAUCAAUAUUAUAUAUUCGGAUAUACGAGUACUUCAUCGUGCUCUUAAUUUAGAGAUGUUUUGAGUUUGUUUACAAAUUGAAUCUUUGAAUUUUAGACAUAGAACUUGUACUCUUUUAGAUAUAAUAUACCGAUUUGAAUGGAUAAAUACCGUAAUUCCAAACAUAUAUUUUUUUUUCACACACAUACCUCAUCCAUUACGAAACGCAGGAACUAAAGCUAUAUAAUAUAGUGAAGCUAAUUUAAUAAAAAAUAUAUAUAUUUGGUGAUGCUAAACUCAGUCUAACUUAAUGCCAGUUCAAAAGGAACACUGUGGUAUGGAGGAAUUCUUUGUUUUGCAUUUAUAAAUGGCAACUAUACCCUAUUAAUCAUCAUCAUAAAAAUAAUUUUUAUAAUGUAUGAGACCAAGUUUCACGUCUCUAUUAUUUUUCAUCAUUUUUUAGAAUUGUACGAUCUUGUACCAGAUCUUCGUUUAGUUAUGAUGAUAGCAACCACUCUCACUGAAAAAUUAUAUAAUAACAUUUUUUUGGCAUAUUUAAUUACUGAUCCUGUCGGUGUAUUAUUGUAAAAUUAGGCAAUUUGUCCAAUCAAUUCACACAUAAUUUCAAACCUGGCAACUAUAUAAAAACAAAAUCAUAGGUAAAUAAUGUAGAAAAUCACCAACAACCCUUGAAUUUUGUUACAAGAAAGGGCCAAGUCAUCACCUUAUCAAGAUUGUGAGUGGAUUCACAAAGAUCACGACUAGUAUAAAAGGAGGAAGUCACUCUUGUGUUUUCUGCACCAAACUCAUAAGUCACUAACAUGGCUUCCUCAAACUUCCUAGUGCUGCUUCUUUUUGCUCUAUUUGCCAUUCCUCAGGGUCUUGCCAAUUAUGAGAAGCCUCCGGUUUACCAACCACCGGUGUAUAAGCCACCAGUUGAGAAACCCCCGGUCUACAAACCCCCUGUAGAAAAGCCACCAGUAUAUAAGCCACCAGUAGAGAAGCCUCCAGUUUACAAACCACCGGUGUACAAGCCACCUGUGUACAAACCCCCAGUAGUGAAACCCCCAGUCUACAAACCUCCUGUUUACAAGCCACCGGUGUACAAGCCACCAGUUUACAAACCACCAGUAGAGAAGCCCCCAGUUUACAAGCCACCUGUAUACAAACCCCCAGUAGUGAAACCCCCAGUCUACAAACCUCCUGUUUACAAGCCACCAGUUGAGAAGCCUCCAGUUUACAAGCCACCAGUAGUGAAGCCACCUGUUUACAAGCCCCCAGUCUACAAGCCACCAGUAGUGAAGCCACCUGUAUACAAGCCUCCAGUCUACAAGCCACCCGUUUACAAGCCUCCAGUUGAGAAGCCUCCGGUCUACAAGCCACCUGUUUACAAGCCCCCAGUUGAGAAACCUCCAGUCUACAAGCCACCGGUUUACAAGCCUCCAGUCGAGAAGCCACCAGUUUACGGACCUCCUCACCACCCAUAGGACUCUCGGAUGCUUUUAAGUAAAUAAGUUAAAUAAGAGAUAUAUAAUGUUUCCAAAGCAAGGAUUAUAUAUUCUUGGAAU
rnacentral:lncRNA from 1 species